ACACCGGCAGCCCAAGUGGUGGCCAUUUUUAUUGGGCCUAAAGCGUUCGUAGCCGGCCUGAUAAGUCUCUGGUGAAAUCCCGCAGCUUAACUGUGGGAAUUGCUGGAGAUACUAUCAGGCUUGAGGUCGGGAGAGGUUAGAGGUACUCCCAGGGUAGGGGUGAAAUCCUAUAAUCCUGGGAGGACCACCUGUGGCGAAGGCGUCUAACUGGAACGAUCCUGACGGUGAGUAACGAAAGCCAGGGGCGGGAACCGGAUUAGAUCCCCGGGUAAUCCUGGCCGUAAACGAUGUGGACUUGGUGUUGGGAUGGCCUCGAGCUGCCCCAGUGCCGAAGGGAAGCUGUUAAGUCCACCGCCUGGGAAGUACGGUCGCAAGACUGAAACUUAAAUGAAUUGGCGGGG
rnacentral:rRNA from 1 species